rnacentral:rRNA from 1 species
GAUGAACGCUAGCGGCAGGCUUAAUACAUGCAAGUCGAGGGACAGCACAGGUAGCAAUAUUGGGUGGUAACCGGCAACCGGGUGCGGAACACGUACACAACCUUCCCUUAAGAGGGGGCUAGCCGAGAGAAAUUUGGAUUAAUACCCCGUAAUAUAGUUGAAUGGCAUCAUUUGAUUAUUAUAGCUACGUCGCUUAAUGAGGGGUGGGCGGCUGAUUAGAUAGUGGGCGGGAUAACGGCCCACCAAGUCUACGAUCAGUAGCUGAUGUGAGAGCAGGAUCAGCCACACGGGCACUGAGACACGGGCCCGACUCCUACGGGAGGCAGCAGUAAGGAAUAUUGGUCAAUGGACGCAAGUCUGAACCAGCCAUGCCGCGUGAAGGAUUAAGGUCCUCUGGAUUGUAAACUUCUUUUAUUUGGGACGAAAAAGGGCCUUUCUAGGUCAACUGACGGUACCAGAUGAAUAAGCACCGGCUAACUCCGUGCCAGCAGCCGCCGUAAUAC